rnacentral:rRNA from 1 species
UACGUGGGGGGCAAGCGUUGUCCGGAUUCAUUGGGCGUAAAGAGCGUGUAGGCGGCCAGGUAGGUCGGUUGUGAAAACUGGAGGCUCAACCUUCAGACGUCGACCGAAACCAUCUGGCUAGAGUCCGGGAGAGGAGAGUGGAAUUCCUGGUGUAGCGGUGAAAUGCGCAGAUAUCAGGAGGAACACCAAUGGCGAAGGCAGAUCUCUGGGCCGUAACUGACGCUGAGGAGCGAAAGCAUGGGGAGCGAACAGG